CUGAGACAGGAUGGAAGACCAAGACUUAUCUCUGCUUCUAUUUUCCUUCAGAUUAACCACCAUGUGACCUCAGUGUGGGCACAGGUCGUCUGCCUUAAUGUGGCCCCAUGGAAACCUGGUGCAAGCAAGGGCAAAGAGCUGACUGUUGCGGGCAUUUUGGGCAUCAACCCUCUUCUCAGUUCGUCUUUGUGAGAUGUCAUCUGUCUCCACCCAAGAACGCCGCUCACCCUUCAGCUGGGCCUCUCUGACAGAUGGAAUGCUGGGUGAGGGUGAGGCUCGCUCUUGUCAGCUCUCAAGGGCCACCUUUGUACGCACCUGCCCCCGGGCUCCACAAGAAGGUGGGCUUGUCAAGCACUAAGGUGUUUUCCACUUGUGGAAAUAACUCCAGCAUUCCAUAUUUUACAUAUUUGGACCUUUGGACUGGGAAUAUUUUCUUACAUUUCACAUAGCUUCACCCCCUGUGGGGAGAAAACCCUCGUCUUUCAAGUGGCUAUUACAAAUCUUCGUGUAUAAACACGCACAAGAGGUCAUCACGACGCCAAGAUGGCUCUUGAAAGGUUCAAGUGUCUCUCAGGGAGAUUUUUCAGCUUGUUCAGUGACAGUGAAUCAAAGUCUCCAGUUUUCAGUGGCAGAACUUCACUUUUGAUUGUUCCUUCAAGGUUUUCUAGGGGAAAAAAAGAUUUUGGGAGAUUUGAUUGAUAUUCAUUCCUUCAUCUGUGCAUCCUAUAGACACGCAAUGAAGUAUUGACUUGCUGUGA